AGAACACUAAGUCAACACGUGUACUCUUCAAUUUCCUUUCAAGAAGCCAAGCCGAUCACACCAGAGGCCAAUUUAGGAGUGUUCAUGAAAACCUCCUUGAUUGCUCCCUGAACCAUUGAAUCUGCACUAUAUUUGUUCCAGACCAAAGGGAUGCCAGGGGACGAUAACUGGAAUGUGGUUGAGUUCCACUUAAAAGAUACUAAUCUCACUCGAUUGCCAGAUAGUCCGGUUUGCCGUAUCCUCGUGAAAUUGUUCUUGCAGGAUACUGAUUUGACAAUCAUUCCUCCCACCUUCUUUGAGCACAUGCCUGUGCUUGAAGUAUUAGAUCUCUCUAAUACAAACAUUGUGUCUUUGCCGACAUCCAUUUCCAAUUUAAGCCGGCUUCAGGAACUUUUAUUGAGAGACUGUUCUUCUUUAAUGGAACUACCAACUGAAAUUGGAAUGCUUUCAAAUCUCAAGUUGUUUGAUAUCAAUGGUACUGAGCUAAUGUUUAUACCAGAGGAAAUGGGAAAACUUAAAGAUUUAGAGGUUCUACGCAUUUGUUUGUCUCAGUAUGCAAAACACUACAUAGAGACCAAUAGUGUCAAUGAGAAAGUAAUCCCGAGAAAGAUGAUAUCGGAACUCAAACGAUUGAAGGAAUUGUGCGUAUCAAUUAGUGUAGGUUCAGAACCUGAGUGGUGGGAAGAAGAAGUGAAAUAUCUACAACAUGAGUUGUGUGAUUUAGGCAAUCUUCAAACCUUGAGAUGGUACUUGCCUACGAGCGAUGUACUACAACAAUUUUUACUUCUUAAAAGUACUCAUGGUCCAAUAUACAAAAGAAUUUCCAAUUUGAUGUUAACUAUUGGUCAGCAUGCACAAAUUACGUCUUGUCUACCACAAGGCCUUGAAAGGAAGUUUGAGGAAUUUAAGAACUGCCUAAAAUGGAUUAAUGAGGAAGGGAACGUGAAUGACAUUUCCGAGAUAAUUCCAAAGGCCGAAGCUUUGUUCUUGUCUCGCCAUUGGACUAUUAAGAAGCUCUCGACUUAUAACAUUACAACUUUGAAGUAUUGCUUAGUUGCGGAAUGCAACGAGAUGGAAACUCUUGUUGAAGCAGAUGGCUUGUUUGAAGAUGGAAAAACUCGAAUAGAGAAUAGUGAAAAAAAUGGACUAGAAUUGCUACAAUACUUGAGUAUUCAUCACAUGAAGAAAUUACAAAGUAUUUGGAUGGGGCCGAUUGGCAAAGGUAGUCUCUCCAAACUAAGAAUCUUGGCGUUACAUACAUGUUACCAGCUGACAUCAAUUUUCACUCUGACCAUUGCACAAAAUCUCUCAUGCUUGGUAGAGAUUACUGUAGAAGAUUGCCCUAAUGUAAUCACCCUCAUUAGCGGUGAAUCUCACAACGUCAAAUAUGUACCAUUGUUUCCAAGCUUGCAGAAGAUUUUUCUUUUAGACCUACCCGAGUUGGUCAACAUUUUUGUUGAUGAUAUUAUGUUGAACAAUUUAAGGACUAUGUUGAUUUAUAAAUGCUCACAACUCCGGGAUUUAUCUAACAUGGACUUACCAUACAUAAAGAAGAUUGAAGGACAGACUGAAUGGUGGAACUGCUUGGGUUAUGACAAAUCACGAUGGGAAAGUUUCUUUGUGCCACUCAAAAAAAGGAGAGAUUUGGUGGAGCAACUAUACAAAGCUACCAACUCUCUAGCACAUUUCCAUGAUGUUAUAUCCGAAGAAGAUAAUGAAAAGAAAUCGUCUAAUUUGACUGAUGUUAUAGACCAAAUGAUCCCAGCCGGCACAUCAAUGGAGAAAGGGAAAGGAGUAUUCAUUCCACCGCAAGAAACAGAAAACAAAGAAUCAGAUUGUUUGUCUCGUUUUGAAGCACCAGACACUGAACCUGAGGAUUUUAACUCACUCGGUGUGUCUAAUUCUGAAGCUCGCCCACUCGGUUUUUCUGGUCCUAAAGCUGUUUCAAUUGGAGAAGUGGAUUCAUUAUCCUUGUCUAGACAAGAAAAUGAUGCAAGGGAAUCGUCUGAUCUGACUGAUGUGAUGGAGCAAGAGGUCGUCGUUGACACAUCAAUGCAGAAAGAUAAAGGAAAUCUUCUUCCCUCAGAAGAUAAUGAAAAGAAAUCGUCUAAUUUGACUGAUGUUAUAGACCAAAUGAUCCCAGCCGGCACAUCAAUGGAGAAAGGGAAAGGAGUAUUCAUUCCACCGCAAGAAACAGAAAACAAAGAAUCAGAUUGUUUGUCUCGUUUUGAAGCACCAGACACUGAACCUGAGGAUUUUAACUCACUCGGUGUGUCUAAUUCUGAAGCUCGCCCACUCGGUUUUUCUGGUCCUAAAGCUGUUUCAUUUGGAGAAGUGGAUUCAUUAUCCUUGUCUAGACAAGGAAAUGAUGCAAGGGAAUCGUCUGAUCUGACUGAUGUGAUGGAGCAAGAGGUCGUCGUUGACACAUCAAUGCAGAAAGAGAAAGGAAAUCUUCUCCCCUCAGAAGAUAAUGAAAAGAAAUCGUCUAAUUUGACUGAUGUUAUAGACCAAAUGAUCCCAGCCGGCACAUCAAUGGAGAAAGGGAAAGGAGUAUUCAUUCCACCGCAAGAAACAGAAAACAAAGAAUCAGAUUGUUUGUCUCGUUUUGAAGCACCAGACACUGAACCUGAGGAUUUUAACUCACUCGGUGUGUCUAAUUCUGAAGCUCGCCCACUCGGUUUUUCUGGUCCUAAAGCUGUUUCAAUUGGAGAAGUGGAUUCAUUAUCCUUGUCUACACAAGAAAGGAUGAACCACCCAAGUACAAGCUCUGGUCAUGCAAUUCCAGUCGAUCAUCAUCAGCAGAGCCAUACUAUCAUUUCAAUUCCUUCCCAGCCAGUGUCACCAUCAACACCACCACCAGACCAUACAAUUGUUCCGAUUGUUACACCACCAGUGCCACCACCAGCGCCACCACCACCCAACCUACCUCGUUCAGAUCUGCUUGAUGGUCCUAGAGCGGACUACGUCAAGUUUGGUGUUCCACUUUAUGAAGCAGCAAUCAAAGGAGAUUGGAAGGCUGCUAAACCAAUUCUUGACAAACGCCCCGAUGUGAUACGUUUUGCCAUCACCGAAAAUUAUGAAACAUUGCUCCACGUUGCAGCAUCAGCAGAAAGCACCAAGGCUGUGGAAGAAUUUGUGAUAAAUCUAGUAACUUUGAUGGACAAAAAAGAUUUGGAGCUACAAAACAAAAAUUACAAUACUGCCCUCAGUUUAGCAGCUGCAGCAGGAAACGUUAAAACAGCAAUGAUAAUGGUGAAAAAGAAUCCUGCUGUGGCUGAAAUCCCUGGUAAUAAUCGAACGAUGCCACUCUAUAUGGCUGCUUUAUUUGGAAAACCUGAAAUGGCGAGGUAUUUGUAUGGUAUCUCUAAGAAAAUGGGAGGCGAUUAUUGGUCACAUGAUAAUCGUGGUUGGGUCCUACAAAAAUGUGUUGAAUCUGAUAUCUUUGAUCUUGCUCUAAAGAUAGUUGGUGAUCGCCCGGAGCUACUUGUCAAGAAGGGGUUACUUACCGAUGUUCUCUUAGCUUUGGCUCAGAAGCCUAAAGCAUUUAAAGGAAAAAAACUACACGUUGUCUUCAGAAUCAUCAAGUCUAUUUUUGGAGUGUUUCAUGUGAAGGUAAGGCCUGGUGAAAAAGAAAGUGAAGCCCUGCAAUUAUUAAAAAUAAUUUGGAAAAGCAUUGCCACAAUGGCUAAGACAGAGAUUGCUGACAUAAUCCGAGGUCCACCUCUAGGGUUGGGAGCAAUAAAAAGCUACCCUUCUCGAGUACUUUUUGUUGCUGCUAAAAUGGGCAACACAAGGUUUAUAGUUGAGCUCAUUCGAUCAUAUCCUGAUCUAAUAUGGAAACAAGAUGACAAAGGAAAGACGAUAUUUCACUUAGCGAUCAAACGUCGGCAAGAAAAGAUCUAUAAUAUGUUAUAUGAGAUUGGUGCAAUGAAAGAUUUAAUAACCCCUAUUAAAGACAAAAAAGGCAAUAACAUGUUGCAUAUGGUCUCAAAGAGUGCUAAGCAAAGCCGAUUUCAAAAUGUGUCUGGAGUUGCUUUUCAAAUGCAACGGGAAUUGUUAUGGUUCAAGAUCAAGUUGGAUGCCAAAUAUAUAAAAAAUGGUCAAGCAAGAACAACUAAGCUAAAAGGAAACCGAUAAAGUGGUCGAACGGGUGCUCUCCAAUAUCUCACCAUUACUCGUCCCAAUCUCUCCUAUGCCGUCAAUCGAGCUAGCCAAUUCCUUCAAAAUCCCACAACCAAUCAUUUCCAGCUAAUGCAGAUUGGGCUCGCUGUAUCAACCCUCGAAGGUCCACAUAUGGCCAUUGUAUCUACUUAGGAGGAAACUUAGUGUCUUGGAGCGCUAAAAAGCAACCAACAGUGUCACGAUCCAGUUGUGAGUCAGAAUAUCGAGCAAUGGCAAACACGACAGCAAAAAUUAUUUAGUUAACUAACCUACUUCGGGAACUUCAUGCUCUUCCACCUGGUUGACCGACUCUAUUAUGUGACAACAAGAGUGCGUUGUUCUUAAGUCAAAAUCCAAUCUCACACAAAAGAGCCAAACACAUUGACAUCGAUUAUUAUUUCGUUCGUGAAUUAGUAACCGCCGGGAAGCUUCACACAAAAUUCAUCUCAACAGAUAAACAAGUCGCAUAUAUUUUUACCAAAAGUUUACCAAAACCGUUAUUUGAAAAUUUUAGAACAAUGCUUCGUCUUGGACCACCUCCAACUUGUAUUGACGGGGGGUAUUAAAAAUUUCAUAUCUCAAGGAGCAAUAUCCUCCCUUCAUUAAAUUCUUUAAUGUGUAAGUACGGACCACAUUUUCACAGCUUGUAGGAUUGCUAACGUGGUUUGGGCCGGAGUCGCAUCCUGGUGUAGAGUUCCUUCUCCAUUCUUCUUUUCGAUUCAGGAUGUACAGAACUUUGUUAACCAUAUGAGCGGCUCGAAGACUAAGA